rnacentral:rRNA from 1 species
AGAGUUUGAUCCUGGCUCAGGAUGAACGCUAGCGGCAGGCUUAAUACAUGCAAGUCGAGGGGCAGCAUGACUGUAGCAAUACAGUUGAUGGCGACCGGCAAACGGGUGCGGAACACGUACGCAAUCUACCCAAAACUGAUGAAUAGCCCUCCGAAAGGAGGAUUAAUACAUCGUAACUUACUGAAGUGGCAUCACUUUAUUAAUAUAGCUCCGGCGGUUUUGGAUGAGCGUGCGCCUGAUUAGGUAGUUGGCGGGGUAACGGCCCACCAAGCCUGCGAUCAGUAACUGGUGUGAGAGCACGACCAGUCACACGGGCACUGAGACACGGGCCCGACUCCUACGGGAGGCAGCAGUAAGGAAUAUUGGUCAAUGGACGCAAGUCUGAACCAGCCAUGCCGCGUGAAGGAUGAAGGUCCUCUGGAUUGUAAACUUCUUUUAUGUGGGACGAAACCUCUUAUUCUUAAGAGACUGACGGUACCAUAGGAAUAAGCACCGGCUAACUCCGUGCCAGCAGCCGCGGUAAUACGGAGGGUGCAAGCGUUAUCCGGAUUCACUGGGUUUAAAGGGAGCGUAGGAGGGCAGGUAAGUCAGUGGUGAAAUCUUCGAGCUUAACUCGGAAACUGCCGCUGAUACUAUCUGUCUUGAAUACCGUGGAGAUGAGCGGAAUAUCAUGUAGCGGUGAAAUGCUUAGAUAUGACAUAGAACACCAAUUGCGAAGGCAGCUCGUUACACGAAUAUUGACUCUGAGGCUCGAAAGCGUGGGGAUCAAACAGGAUUAGAUACCCUAGUAGUCC